UUAAAUGGACCUUGUUGCACAGGAAAAAUCUGGACAAGUUGCUGCCUGUUUCUUCAACCUCCUCCUUCACAACAAGAUGCUGUUUCUCCAGCAAAGUACACUGCAAGGUACACACCAAGGACAUACCUCUUUCCCCCUCUGUGGAAAAGUUCUGUUUCAGUGCUGUUUCCUUGUUCACAGAUUUCUGCAUUGUUGAGAACGUUAUUCUGUAAAAACUGCACCAGACCAAACGACUCAAAGACAGAUUUUGGCAUCAUGCAUCCCAGCUUAACAUGUCUGCCAACGGGGUUAUAAUGUUCUGACUGUUUCUUGGACCACUGGCAAAUAUUUAUAUGGCACUAUAAUAUAUCAGACCUAUAUGGUGAUUGUAAAGAGGUGUCAAUAUUUGCAUAUUAAGCCACGAGGUGAUCGUUCACUUCCUGUCCCACCCCAUACCGGUAAAUGGAGAGGUCUACAAAAAUGGAGAAAUAAAACAACAAAAUUGAACCAGACACUUUAAAAACUUCAUACAGUGAUUGGUUGAGGUAGCAGAUCCAGAGGGGAGUUAAGGAUGACAUCAGUGCUACAUAAAGUGCCUGCUCUACAGCUCUAUCCCUCUCUCCAAAAACCCACGGAGCCUCAACCACAUCUAAUUUCUUGGUGGCGGAGGGUUAUGGAAUCAAGACAAGGGUGGAAGACCUGGGAGAUAUCUGCUAUGCACAGACAAUUACAAUGGGCUCAAAACCCCAGAACAUUUACCUUUUCCAACUGAAUGACUCUAUAAAAUGGACACCUGCCAUGUUCCUAGCAUGAAUCAUUGUACUUAGAGGCACACACAAGUGGAGAGCAGUCACGGCUAGUUGGCCGCUGAUGUAUCAGAUACAAUGUCUGUACAGGGUUCAGUG